GCUGGUCAGUCUGGUCACUGGGUUCGCUGCCGCCAUGGCAAUGAGACAGACGCCACUCACCUGCUCUGGCCACGAGUGGCCCGUGGUUGAUUUGGCCUUCGGUGGCAUCACGUCUUAUGGGUAUUUCUUAAUCAGCGUUUGCAAAGAUGGUAAACCUAUGCUAUGCCAGGGAGAUACAGGAGACUGAAUUGGAACAUUUUGGGGUCAUAAAGGUGCUGUUUGGGGUACAACACUGAAUGUCACCAAAACAGCUACAGUAGCUGCGGAUUUCACAGCCAAAGUGUGGGAUGCUGUCUCAAGAGAUGAAUUGAUGACCCUGGCUCAUAAAUACAUUGUCAAAUACAUAAAUAUCCUGUGUAUUUCACGCAGGAUAGUAAUUAUUUGUUAACUGGGGGACAGGAUAAACUGUUAUGCAUGUAUGACUUGAACAAACCCGAAGCAAGACCUAAGGAAAUGAGUGGUCACACUUCUGGUAUAAAAAAGGCUCCUAUGGUACAGGGAGGAUAAACAGAUUCUUUCUGCUGAUGACAAAACUGCUUGACUUUGGGAUCAUGCUACUAUGACAGAAGUGAAAUCUCUACAUUUUAAUAUGUCUGUUAGUGACAUAAAAAUAUAUUCCUGAAAUUUUGGUUAUAACUUAUGGACAAUCUAUUGCUUUUCAUAGUGCAGUAAGUUUGAACCCAAUUAAAUCCUUUGAAGCUCCUGCAACCAUCAAUUCUGCAUCUCUUCAUCCUGAGAAAGAAUUUCUUGUUGCAGGUGGUGAAAUUUUUAAACUUUGUAAGUAUGAUUAUAACCGUGGAGAAGAAUUCGAAUCCUACAAGGGACGCUUUGGUCCUAUUCACUAUGUGAGAUUUAGUCCUGAUGGAGAACACUAUGCCAGUGGUUCUGAAGAUGGAACAUUGAGACUAGGGCACACUGUGGUAGGAAAAACUUAUGGCCUUUGGAAUGUGCGCUUCCUGAAGAAAAGAGUGGUGAGCUGGCAGAGCCAAAGAUGGGUUUUCCAGAGACAACAGAAGAGGAGCGAGAAGAAACUGCUUCAGAGAAUUCUGAUUACAUCUAUUCUUCAACUCCUAAUGUUAAGGCCUGAGGGUCAAUCAUAUGACGCAGUUAGUAUCCAACUUAUGGACUAAAACGAGCAAGCAGAGAAAAGCAUCAGCCUUCCAGAGUUACUCUCUGCUUAAGGCAGAAAGAACAGUAAAUAAUGGGGAAAAUAAAUCAGCUCCAGUGCUGGAACAAUUAACUUGGUGUUACCUUUAAGUCAAAACUCAAGAGUAUCAGAUGAAGAGAGGUGGAGUUAUCCUCUUGUAGUACAGUGGCCUGUUAUCUUUUUAAUGACUAUAUACAAGCCAACAUCCAAUUUCUCUUAUUACAGUUAGGGUUCUUGUCACUGUUUAUGUUAUUAUGGAGAAGAAAAAUAUAUUGGCUUAUUUUUCUGACUGUUUUCCUUAAAGCAGAAUGCUUGUUUUAAAUUUUAUUUUUUGCUUUAGUUGUAAAGAAGAGGGAAUACAUGAUAAAGUAACUGGUUUGAUUUCUCUUUCAUUGUACAAUGCUUCUGAACAUCUAAUUGUUUUUAGUUGUCUAAAUAAAAUGCCUGUAAAACAAACA